AUCGCUUCUCGGCCUUUUGGCUAAGAUCAAAGUGUAGUAUCUGUUCUUAUCAGCUUAAUAAUCUUAUACGAUCCCAUGUGGGAUUACGAUAUUAAAAUGAUUUUUGGAAUAUGGCGAAGUGCUAGGGGCUUGCUCCACCUUUGCGCGGAUCGGCCGGUAUUGCAGUACCUCCGGGAUGGUCCAAUCCCC
rnacentral:snRNA from 1 species